rnacentral:rRNA from 1 species
GUCCACGCCGUAAACGAUGAAUACUAGGUGUCUGGUGUCAAAGCUAGGUGCCGCAGCUAACGCAUUAAGUAUUCCGCCUGGGGAGUACGCACGCAAGUGUGAAACUCAAAGGAAUUGACGGGGACCCGCACAAGCAGCGGAGCAUGUGGUUUAAUUCGAAGCAACGCGAAGAACCUUACCAGGUCUUGACAUCCUCUUGAUCGGUCCUUAGCCGGACCUUCUCUUCGGAGCAAGAGAGACAGGUGGUGCAUGGUUGUCGU